UACGAGGGGGGCAAGCGUUGUUCGGAAUUAUUGGGCGUAAAGGGCGCGUAGGCGGUGCGGUAAGUCACCUGUGAAAACUCUGGGCUCAACUCAGAGCCUGCAGGCGAAACUGCCGUGCUUGAGUGUGGGAGAGGUGCGUGGAAUUCCCGGUGUAGCGGUGAAAUGCGUAGAUAUCAGGAGGAACACCAAUAGCGAAGGCAGCUCGCUGGGACGUUACUGACACUGAGGCGCGAAAGCGUGGGGAGCGAACAGG
rnacentral:rRNA from 1 species